CGGAGGAAAAGAAACCAACAGGGAUUGCCUCAGUAACGGCGAGUGAAGCGGCAAUAGCUCAAAUUUGAAAUCUGCUCUUUGAGCCGAAUUGUAAUUUGUAGAGGAUGCUUCGGCUUACGUUUCGGUCUAAGUUCCUUGGAACAGGACGUCACAGAGGGUGAGAAUCCCGUUUGUGGCCGAGACUUCCGCCAUGUGAAGCUCCUUCGACGAGUCGAGUUGUUUGGGAAUGCAGCUCUAAAUGGGAGGUAUAUUUCUUCUAAAGCUAAAUACCGGCCAGAGACCGAUAGCGCACAAGUAGAGUGAUCGAAAGAUGAAAAGCACUUUGGAAAGAGAGUUAAAAAGUACGUGAAAUUGUUGAAAGGGAAGCGCUUGCGACCAGACUUGCCCGCGGAUGCUCAACCGGUCCUUCGGCCGGUGCACUCUUCCGCGGUCAGGCCAGCAUCAGUUCGAGUAGUCAGAUAAAGGCUUAGGGAAUGUGGCUCUCUUCGGGGAGUGUUAUAGCCCUUUGUGCAAUAUGGCUCACUUGGACUGAGGCCCGCGCUUCGGCUAGGAUGCUGGCGUAAUGGUCGUAAGCGGCCCGUCUUGAAACACGGACCAAGGAGUCUAACAUCUAUGCGAGUGUUUGGGUGUCAAACCCGUGCGCGAAAUGAAAGUGAACGGAGGUGGGAACCUUAGGGUGCACCAUCGACCGAUCCUGAUGUCUUCGGAUGGAUUUGAGUAAGAGCAUAGCUGUUGGGACCCGAAAGAUGGUGAACUAUGCCUGAAUAGGGUGAAGCCAGAGGAAACUCUGGUGGAGGCUCGCAGCGGUUCUGACGUGCAAAUCGAUCGUCAAAUUUGGGUAUAGGGGCGAAAGACUAAUCGAACCAUCUAGUAGCU
rnacentral:rRNA from 1 species